rnacentral:lncRNA from 1 species
GAAUAGACUGCAAAAAGACUGCGCUAUUUAUAAAUCAUUGUCAUCAAUUUCUGCUGUCGCUCCUUGUUCACAGAUAAGAAUAAGAAGGAAGAGGAAGAGGAAGUGGAAGAAGAGGGAGAUAUGGAUGAGGAAGAUGAAGAUGAGGAGAAGGAAGAUGAAAAAGACACUGCCACUCGAGCAACAACUCGACAAGCCUCUCGUCUGGAGGCGGAGAGAAACAAGCCAAGUAAACCUUCCACCCGGGCGAGCCGACAGAGCGGUAAAGACGAGACCACAGCUGGCACGCGCGGUGGAGCGAGGGGCCGUAAACGGGAGACCAGCCCCCCUGUGGUGCGCACGCGGGGAGCACAGAAAUCAGAGGAGCCCCCUUCCAAGAGGGCUAAACGCUAAAAUGUCCGACACAGAAAAACUGCAGCCUUCAACACACUUUUUUAGCUCUGCAUUUCCAAGUGAGAAGCAGGUUUAUUCCACCAAAAAGCUGUCAACGAAAAGGUAACUUUGAGUCAACAAUGUUUUAAAGUCCAUUUGAUUUCGUUGUGAACCUGGAAACCUGUGGGGGAUACUUUUGACUGCAUAGCCAUAUGGUUUAAAUCAGACCUGUACUUUUGCUGUAAUACUCUGUAAUAGAGUUUCAGGUCAAUCACAAGCCGAAUAUUAUGUAGUAGUAUAUUUCUAGACGAUAACGAACUGGACUGAAUUUGUAAAUUCUAUCAGCUUCACAUUUGUAAGCCUCUUUGUUACAAGUCAUUUGUGCCGUUUCUGCCUUGUACAAAGUGGCCCGUGAAGUAUUGUAAACAUACACUAUUCAUUCUGUGAAUGAAGAGGCGUUUGUCUCCCCUUUUUUUAAACUUUAAAUACACUAUGUAGAUCUUUACAGCAGUGCCAGUAUUGUCACUAAUAGGAAAACAAUUAGUUUUGUUUUUAUACUUUCAUGUUUUACAUUUUCUAUGGUGGACGUUACUCAUUAGUCAGUUACCAAUUUGUCAAUAGGGCAUUAUCUGUUCCAUAAAUAUUAUAAUUUUAAACCUGUGGUGUCCUCUCAUCAUUUAUGAACCAUGUAGAC